rnacentral:rRNA from 1 species
UGGGGAAUAUUGGACAAUGGAGGAAACUCUGAUCCAGCAAUUCUGUGUGUGUGAAGAAGGUUUUAGGACUGUAAAACACUUUUAGUAGGGAAGAAAAAAAUGACGGUACCUACAGAAGAAGCAACGGCUAAAUACGUGCCAGCAGCCGCGGUAAUACGUAUGUUGCGAGCGUUAUCCGGAAUUAUUGGGCUUAAAGGGCAUCUAGGCGGUAAGACAAGUUGAAGGUGAAAACCUGUGGCUCAACCAUAGGCUUGCCUACAAAACUGUUGAACUAGAGUACUGGAAAGGUGGGUGGAACUAAACGCGUAGAGGUGAAAUUCGUAGAUAUGUGUAGGAAUGCCGAUGAUGAAGAUAACUCACUGGACAGAAACUGACGCUGAAGUGCGAAAGCUAGGGGAGCAAACAGG